UAGUUGAAGCGGGAAACAAAAGGAGACGGAAGACGCAUGCGUUAGUGAGUCCCGGAUUCUGGUGGGUUCUUCCGCUCAGGUCUGGGGAAGCGCUUCCGGGUCGCCGCCGGCUGCCGGCUCUUGGCGCGGUAAGAAACUGAGGCCCAGAGAGGUUAAGUGUAUUGGCCAAAGUCAAACAGCUAGUAAGUGAUGGAGCCAGGACUCAAACUCAGGAGCCAUGUCCACCUUGUUCCCUUCACUCUUUCCUCGUGUGACUGAGACACUGUGGUUUAAUCUGGAUCGACCCUGUGUGGAGGAGACAGAGCUGCAGCAGCAGGAGCAGCAGCAUCAGGCCUGGCUCCAAAGCAUCGCAGAGAAAGACAACAACCUGGUACCCAUCGGCAAGCCUGCCUCCGAGCACUAUGAUGACGAGGAAGAAGAGGAUGAUGAAGAUGACGAGGACAGUGAAGAGGAUUCAGAAGACGAUGAGGACAUGCAGGACAUGGAUGAGAUGAAUGACUAUAAUGAGUCACCUGAUGAUGGAGAGGUCAAUGAGGUGGACAUGGAAGGCAACGAACAGGAUCAGGACCAGUGGAUGAUCUAGGUAGAGCAGCCAAGGUGGCCUCAGACUGACUCCAGACCACCUCAGCCUAUUUUGCAUCCACAGCCUCAGCCCCUCAGCCUGCAGAACCAGCUUGUGGCCAUAGUGCCUAAAGCUUCCCUUAGGCACUUUGUCAGCUGCUGCCAGGACAAGGUCUCCUUGGGCCCUUCCAGGCCACCAGUCUUCCCUUGAAUCCCAAGAGCCUGAGCCCAUCCCACCUUCCUGGCUGGUACCUCACUCACUCCUUGGUUGCCAGGUGUGGUCCCUUUCUAUCCCUCUUUAAUAAAGACACAGGACUGAUUCUUUCCCC
rnacentral:lncRNA from 1 species